rnacentral:rRNA from 1 species
AGUGAACGCUGGCGGUAGGCCUAACACAUGCAAGUCGAACGGCAGCACAGUAAGAGCUUGCUCUUACGGGUGGCGAGUGGUGGACGGGUGAGGAAUACAUCGGAAUCUACUUUUUCGUGGGGGAUAACGUAGGGAAACUUACGCUAAUACCGCAUACGACCUACGGGUGAAAGCAGGGGAUCUUCGGACCUUGCGCGAUUGAAUGAGCCGAUGUCGGAUUAGCUAGUUGGCGGGGUAAAGGCCCACCAAGGCGACGAUCCGUAGCUGGUCUGAGAGGAUGAUCAGCAACACUGGAACUGAGACACGGUCCAGACUCCUACGGGAGGCAGCAGUGGGGAAUAUUGGACAAUGGGCGCAAGCCUGAUCCAGCCAUACCGCGUGGGUGAAGAAGGCCUUCGGGUUGUAAAGCCCUUUUGUUGGGAAAGAAAAGCAGCAGGUUAAUACCCCGCUGUUCUGACGGUACCCAAAGAAUAAGCACCGGCUAACUUCGU